rnacentral:rRNA from 1 species
AUUGAACGCUGGCGGCAUGCUUUACACAUGCAAGUCGAACGGCAGCGCGGGGGCAACCCUGGCGGCGAGUGGCGAACGGGUGAGUAAUAUAUCGGAACGUACCCAAGAGUGGGGGAUAACGUAGCGAAAGUUACGCUAAUACCGCAUACGAUCUAAGGAUGAAGGCAGGGGAUCUUCGGACCUUGUGCUCCUGGAGCGGC